rnacentral:rRNA from 1 species
CCUACGGGCGGCAGCAGUGGGGAAUAUUGGACAAUGGGCGAAAGCCUGAUCCAGCCAUGCCGCGUGUGUGAAGAAGGCCUUCGGGUUGUAAAGCACUUUCAGUGGGGAAGAAAGCCUUGGGGCUAAUACCCUCGAGGAAGGACAUCACCCACAGAAGAAGCACCGGCUAACUCCGUGCCAGCAGCCGCGGUAAUACGGAGGGUGCGAGCGUUAAUCGGAAUUACUGGGCGUAAAGCGCGCGUAGGCGGUCUGAUAAGCCGGUUGUGAAAGCCCCGGGCUCAACCUGGGAACGGCAUCCGGAACUGUCAGGCUAGAGUGCAGGAGAGGAAGGUAGAAUUCGCGGUGUAGCAGUGAAAUGCGUAGAGAUCGGGAGGAAUACCAGUGGCGAAGGCGGCCUUCUGGACUGACACUGACGCUGAGGUGCGAAAGCGUGGGUAGCAAACAGGAUUAGAUACCCCAGUAGUC